rnacentral:rRNA from 1 species
ACGAACGCUGGCGGCGUGCUUAACACAUGCAAGUCGAACGGAAAGGCCCUGCUUUUGUGGGGUGCUCGAGUGGCGAACGGGUGAGUAACACGUGAGUAACCUGCCCUUGACUUUGGGAUAACUUCAGGAAACUGGGGCUAAUACCGGAUAGGAGCUCCUGCUGCAUGGUGGGGGUUGGAAAGUUUCGGCGGUUGGGGAUGGACUCGCGGCUUAUCAGCUUGUUGGUGGGGUAGUGGCUUACCAAGGCUUUGACGGGUAGCCGGCCUGAGAGGGUGACCGGCCACAUUGGGACUGAGAUACGGCCCAGACUCCUACGGGAGGCAGCAGUGGGGAAUAUUGCACAAUGGGCGGAAGCCUGAUGCAGCAACGCCGCGUGCGGGAUGACGGCCGUCGGGUGGUAAACCGCUUUCGCCUGUGACGAAGCGUGAGUGACGGUAAUGGGUAAAGAAGCACCGGCUAACUACGU